GGCUGGUCCAACAUUAUUGGGUUAUCAUAACUUACUAACAUUGGUGUCACUAAACUUGAUAUACAAUAUCCCCACUGCUAAAUUUGACUCUUUA
ensembl:misc_RNA Y_RNA Y RNA